rnacentral:rRNA from 1 species
CAGCAGCCGCGGGAAAACGGAGGGUGCAAGCGUUAAUCGGAAUUACUGGGCGUAAAGCGCACGCAGGCGGUCUGUCAAGUCAGAUGUGAAAUCCCCGGGCUUAACCUGGGAACUGCAUUUGAAACUGGCAGGCUAGAGUCUUGUAGAGGGGGGUAGAAUUCCAGGUGUAGCGGUGAAAUGCGUAGAGAUCUGGAGGAAUACCGGUGGCGAAGGCGGCCCCCUGGACAAAGACUGACGCUCAGGUGCGAAAGCGUGGGGAGCAAACAGGAUUAGAUACCCGCGUAGUCCCUGUCUCUUAUAC